CGCUAGCUACAGGCUUAACACAUGCAAGUCGAGGGGCAGCAUUAGAAUUAGCUUGCUAAUUAGAUGGCGACCGGCGCACGGGUGAGUAACGCGUAUCCAACCUUCCCCCUGCUCAGGGAUAGCCCGGUGAAAACCGGAUUAAGACCUGAUAGUUUCACUAGAUGGCAUCUGACGGUGAAUAAAGGUUUCGGCAAGGGAUGGGGAUGCGUCUGAUUAGCUUGUUGGCGGGGUAACGGCCCACCAAGGCGACGAUCAGUAGGGGUUCUGAGAGGAAGGUCCCCCACAUCGGAACUGAGACACGGUCCAAACUCCUACGGGAGGCAGCAGUGAGGAAUAUUGGUCAAUGGGCGGAAGCCUGAACCAGCCAAGUAGCGUGCCAGGAAGACGGCCCUAUGGGUUGUAAACUGCUUUUGUGCGGGAAUAAAGUCAGGGACGCGUCCCUGUUUGCAUGUACCGCAAGAAUAAGGACCGGCUAAUUCCGUGCCAGCAGCUGC
rnacentral:rRNA from 1 species